rnacentral:sRNA from 1 species
GGCCCAAUCUGUCCCAGAAGACGCUAGACCUGCUGGUCACACCUCACAAGUCCACGGACCUCACCGUGGGGAAGAUCUACGCAGCCAUGAUGAUCAUGGAGUACUACCGGCAGAGCAAGGCCAAGAAGCUGCAGGCCAUGCGCGAGGAGCAGGUGCGCUGUUCGCCGCUCUGGGGACACCUGGGCUGGGGACAGUGGCUUGCAUGUCACCAUGGGAACCAACUGGAAUAUGAGGGUGGCUGAGCCCCAGGGCAGGUCCCUGAAAAGUAGGGGCUGGGCACAGCAGCUCACACCUGCAAUCUCAGUGCUUUGAGAGGCCAGGGCAGAGGGAUCGUUUGAGACCAGGAUGAGACCACCCUGGGCAACACAGUGAGACUCCAUCUCUACAAAAUAAAACAUUAGCCAGGCAUGGUGGUGCACACCUGUAGUCCCAGCUAUUUAGGAGGCCAAGAUGGGAGGAUCACUUGAGGCCAGGAGUGGGAGACCAGUCUGGGCAACAUAGAAAGACCCAUAUCGCU